rnacentral:rRNA from 1 species
UAAGGAAUAUUGGUCAAUGGGCGCAAGCCUGAACCAGCCAUGCCGCGUGCAGGAAGACGGCCCUACGGGUUGUAAACUGCUUUUGUACGGGAAUAAACCUCUCUACGUGUAGAGAGCUGAAUGUACUGUAAGAAUAAGGAUCGGCUAACUCCGUGCCAGCAGCCGCGGUAAUACGGAGGAUCCAAGCGUUAUCCGGAUUUAUUGGGUUUAAAGGGUGCGUAGGCGGCUUUUUAAGUCAGGGGUGAAAGACGGCAGCUCAACUGUCGCAGUGCCUUUGAUACUGAAGAGCUUGAAUACACUUGAAGUAGGCGGAAUGUGACAAGUAGCGGUGAAAUGCAUAGAUAUGUCACAGAACACCAAUUGCGAAGGCAGCUUACUAAAGUGUGAUUGACGCUGAGGCACGAAAGCGUGGGGAUCAAACAGG